AUGACCACGAUGAUCGCAGCUAGCUCCAUAGUGAAAGCCAACCUUCCUUGCUCGUCAAGGAUAUCCUCCAGCUCAGACUUCUCAUCUGGUCAUUCUUGGCGCCCAUUAGAGGCGGCAAAACAUUACCGGGCGCAUGGUGUGCGCUCGCUGCGGAUAACAUGUGCUGCCACUAAGACUGCAAAAUCUCCAGCUGAAGAAGAAUGGAAGAUCAAACGGCAACUCCUAGUAGAGAAGCGGGUACGUAGUGUUGAUGUGAAGGAAGCAUUGCGCCUUCAAAACGAAAACAACUUUGUAAUCCUUGAUGUCAGACCAGAAGCAGAGUUCAAACAGGCUCACCCACCUGGUGCUGUUAAUGUACAAAUAUACAGAUUAAUAAAGGAGUGGACAGCAUGGGAUAUUGCAAGGAGGGCAGCAUUUGCUUUCUUCGGCAUAUUUGCAGGAACAGAAGAGAAUCCCGAGUUCAUAAAAAGUGUUGAAGAAAAACUUGAUAAAGAUUCAAAGAUAAUUGUAGCAUGUUCAGCUGGAGGAACAAUGAAGCCAACACAGAAUCUACCUGAUGGGAAGCAAUCUAGGUCUCUGAUAGCGGCGUACCUGCUGGUCCUAAACGGCUACAAGAACGUGUUCCAUCUGGACGGAGGACUCUACACAUGGUUCAAGGAAGACCUACCAUCUGAAGGAGAAGAAGAUUGA
rnacentral:rRNA from 1 species